UACGUAGGGGGCAAGCGUUGUCCGGAUUUACUGGGCGUAAAGAGCGUGUAGGCGGCCAAACAGGUCGGUGGGGAAAACUGGAGGCUCAACUUCCAGACGUCGACGGAAACCGUGUGGCUAGAGUCCGAAAGAGGAGAGUGGAAUUCCUGGUGUAGCGGUGAAAUGCGCAGAUAUCAGGAAGAACACCAAUGGCGAAGGCAGCUCUCUGGGACGGUACUGACGCUGAGACGCGAAAGCGUGGGGAGCGAACAGG
rnacentral:rRNA from 1 species